rnacentral:rRNA from 1 species
GGUUAAGCGACUAAGCGUACACGGUGGAUGCCCUGGCAGUCAGAGGCGAUGAAGGACGUGCUAAUCUGCGAUAAGCGUCGGUGAGGUGAUAUGAACCGUUAUAACCGGCGAUUUCCGAAUGGGGAAACCCAGUGUGUUUCGACACACUAUCAUUAACUGAAUCCAUAGGUUAAUGAGGCGAACCGGGGGAACUGAAACAUCUAAGUACCCCGAGGAAAAGAAAUCAACCGAGAUUCCCCCAGUAGCGGCGAGCGAACGGGGAGGAGCCCAGAGCCUGAAUCAGUGUGUGUGUUAGUGGAAGCGUCUGGAAAGGCGCGCGAUACAGGGUGACAGCCCCGUACACAAAAAUGCACAUAUUGUGAGCUCGAUGAGUAGGGCGGGACACGUGGUAUCCUGUCUGAAUAUGGGGGGACCAUCCUCCAAGGCUAAAUACUCCUGACUGACCGAUAGUGAACCAGUACCGUGAGGGAAAGGCGAAAAGAACCCCGGCGAGGGGAGUGAAAAAGAACCUGAAACCGUGUACGUACAAGCAGUGGGAGCCUCUUAAUGGGGUGACUGCGUACCUUUUGUAUAAUGGGUCAGCGACUUAUAUUCUGUAGCAAGGUUAACCGAAUAGGGGAGCCGAAGGGAAACCGAGUCUUAACUGGGCGUUAAGUUGCAGGGUAUAGACCCGAAACCCGGUGAUCUAGCCAUGGGCAGGUUGAAGGUUGGGUAACACUAACUGGAGGACCGAACCGACUAAUGUUGAAAAAUUAGCGGAUGACUUGUGGCUGGGGGUGAAAGGCCAAUCAAACCGGGAGAUAGCUGGUUCUCCCCGAAAGCUAUUUAGGUAGCGCCUCGUGAAUUCAUCUCCGGGGGUAGAGCACUGUUUCGGCAAGGGGGUCAUCCCGACUUACCAACCCGAUGCAAACUGCGAAUACCGGAGAAUGUUAUCACGGGAGACACACGGCGGGUGCUAACGUCCGUCGUGAAGAGGGAAACAACCCAGACCGCCAGCUAAGGUCCCAAAGUCAUGGUUAAGUGGGAAACGAUGUGGGAAGGCCCAGACAGCCAGGAUGUUGGCUUAGAAGCAGCCAUCAUUUAAAGAAAGCGUAAUAGCUCACUGGUCGAGUCGGCCUGCGCGGAAGAUGUAACGGGGCUAAACCAUG